AGAGUUUGAUCAUGGCUCAGAACGAACGCUGGCGGCAUGCCUAACACAUGCACAGUCGAACGAAGGCCCAGAGCUUGCUCCGGUGUCCUUAGUGGCGGACGGGUGAGUAACGCGUGGGAACCUACCUUAGAGCGGGGAAUAACUAUUGGAAACGAUAGCUAAUACCGCAUACGCCCUUCGGGGGAAAGGCUUCGGCCACUCCAAGACGGUCCCGCGUCUGAUUAGCUUGUUGGUGAGGUANUAGCUCACCAAGGCUACGAUCAGUAGCUGGUCUGAGAGGAUGAUCACCCACACUGGGACUGAGACACGGCCCAGACUCCUACGGGAGGCAGCAGUGGGGAAUAUUGGACAAUGGGGGAAACCCUGAUCCAGCAAUGCCGCGUGAGUGAAGAAGGCCUUAGGGUUGUAAAGCUCUUUCAGAUGUGAAGAUGAUGACUGUAACAUCAGAAGAAGCCCCGGCUAACUCCGUGCCAGCAGCCGCGGUAAUACGGAGGGGGCUAGCGUUGUUCGGAAUUACUGGGAGUAAAGCGCGCGUAGGCGGCUAAGCAAGUUAGAGGUGAAAGCCCCGGGCUCAACCUGGGAAUUACCUUUAAUACUGUUUAGCUUGAGUUCGGAAGANGGAAGUGGAAUUUCCAGUGUANAGGUGAAUUCGUANAUUUUGGAACGAA
rnacentral:rRNA from 1 species